rnacentral:lncRNA from 1 species
GCAUGAUAUCGAACAAUAUCUGUUUGCAGUAUUUCAGAAGUAAAUUAACCAUCUGUUGAAUUCUACACUGCAGCAGCCCAAAUGAGCUCAAAAUAUUGGACACGCGAACCAUCUGCUGCAUUGAACAACGAAAGAAUAAAGAGUAUUAAUGAAUGCCAGGCAUGAAUUGCUUCAAAAAAAAAGCAGCAAAUGACAAAAUGUUCAGCUGAUAGCCAAGAGCAGACCUAACCAUUUAAUCCUCCUCCAUAGGAACUUCUGGGAAAUCCCAUCUAUCUUCUUCAAUUGGUUUAUUGAUAAUGGAAAUAGAAGGUAAGGCAUGUCAAGGAAACAUAAUAAAACAAUUCAAAGAAAAAUUACAAUUAAUUCUGGAUUCAAAUAGCAAAAAGAAAUUUUGGAUGCCAGCCAAUAUUCACACAUGUCAAAGCAAAAACGGAUAAAAUCUUCUAGAAAUUUUACAUAGUCAAAAGCAAGGAAAGUACAGCACAUCAUAAGACAAAUUCUGUAUAUAGAUAAAUCAGAUAUUAAACAGCAUGCAACAACUGUUUCAUUGGCUGCCAGGUUGAUCUCCUUCCCAAUAUUUUCCUAUUUUUCAUUCUCUCAAAUGUUUUCAAUUUCUUUUUUUUUAGUUUUUGGUUUGGGGGGGG